CUGAGAUGGUAUAGAAGUGUUUGUAUCCCAGCAGCAGGUGGAAGCCAGGGGAUGUCUACCAAAGUUGUAAAUGCAUGUAUUCUGUGGUGUAGCUGAGAGAUAGCUGCCUCACAGAGUAUGCCAUGGAAAAUUCUAAGGAUGAUGAGGCCAGACCACUCUGCAUGGAUCCACAGCAGUAAAUCCACUUCUGAGGAGAAGAAUGAAAGCCAAGGCAGAUAUGAAAGAGCCAUGGACUGCUGACCUUUGAACCCUGAGAGGAGUGCAGAGCUCACUCAUAUUCUAAUGAAGUAUUUUUCUACCCUUAUUAUGAUUCUGACUCACUAUACUUCUUAUCAAAAUUACAUGAUGAGGAAUUGUAUGUUUGAAUAGCAGUCAAAUGAGAAGAGACUUUAUCAUUUAGCAAAUCUAUCUGCCCAAUUUCGUAGCUUGAGACAAUGCAAAAAUGUCAAC
rnacentral:lncRNA from 10 species